rnacentral:rRNA from 1 species
AUUGAACGCUGGCGGAAUGCUUUACACAUGCAAGUCGAACGGUAGAGGGGGCAACCCCUCGAGAGUGGCGAACGGGUGAGUAAUAUAUCGGAACGUGCCCAGUCGUGGGGGAUAACGUAGCGAAAGUUACGCUAAUACCGCAUACGAUCUAAGGAUGAAAGCGGGGGAUCGCAAGACCUCGCGCGAUUGGAGCGGCCGAUAUCAGAUUAGGUAGUUGGUGGGGUAAAGGCCCACCCAGCCAACGAUCUGUAGCUGGUCUGAGAGGACGACCAGCCACACUGGAACUGUGACACGGUCCAUGCUGCUACGGGAGGCAGCAGUGGGGAAUUUUGGACAAUGGACGCAAGUCCGAUCCGGCCAUUCCGCGUGCAGGAUGAAGGCCCUCGGGUUGUAAACUGCUUUUGUACGGAACGAAAAGGUCUCUCUUAAUACGGGGGACUCAUGACGGUACCGUAAGAAUAAGCACCGGCUAACUACGUGCCAGCCGCCGCCGUAA